AUUGAACGCUGGCGGCAUGCCUUACACAUGCAAGUCGAACGGCAGCACGGGUGCUUGCACCUGGUGGCGAGUGGCGAACGGGUGAGUAAUACAUCGGAACGUACCUUAUCGUGGGGGAUAACGCAGCGAAAGCUGUGCUAAUACCGCAUACGCCCUGAGGGGGAAAGCGGGGGAUCGAAAGGCCUCGCGCGAUUAGAGCGGCCGAUGCCUGAUUAGCUUGUUGGUGGGGUAAAAGCCCACCAAGGCGACGAUCAGUAGCUGGUCUGAGAGGACGAUCAGCCACACUGGGACUGAGACACGGCCCAGACUCCUACGGGAGGCAGCAGUGGGGAAUUUUGGACAAUGGGGGAAACCCUGAUCCAGCAAUGCCGCGUGAGUGAAGAAGGCCUUCGGGUUGUAAAGCUCUUUACCCGUACGAUGAUAAUGACAGUAUCGGGAGAAGUAAGCUCCGGCUAACUCCGUGCCAGCAGCCGCGGU
rnacentral:rRNA from 1 species